GGUCUGAUGGCGUAGUUGGUUAUCGCAUCUGUCUAACACACAGAAGGUCCUCAGUUCGAGCCUGAGUCAGAUCA
rfam:Rhizopogon vinicolor AM-OR11-026 unplaced genomic scaffold K503scaffold_115, whole genome shotgun sequence.